rnacentral:rRNA from 1 species
GGGGGGGGGGGGGGGGGGGCGGGGCGGGGGCGGGUCGGGCGGGGCCCGGCCGGGGGGGGGGGGGCCUAGCGGGGGACGGGUGAGUAACACGUGGGCAACCUGCCCUCAGCGCUGGGAUAACUCCGGGACACCGGGGCUACUACCGGAUACGACCUCCACGGGCAUCUGCGGAGCUGGAAAGUUUUUCGGCUGAGGCUGGGCCCUCGGCCUCUCAGCUAGUUGGUGGGGUAGUGGCCCACCAAUGCGACGACGGGUAGCCGGCCUGAGAGGGCGACCGGCCACACUGGGACUGAGACACGGCACAGACUCCUACGGGAGGCAGGAGUGGGGAAGAGUGCGCAAGGGGCGAAAGCGUGACGCAGCGACGCCGAGUGAGGGAGGAAGGCCUUCGGGUUGUAAACCUCUUUCAGCAGGGACGAAGCGAAAGUGACGGUACCUGCAGAAGAAGCACCGGCCAACUACGU